CCUACGUGGGGCAGCAGUGAGGAAUAUUGGUCAAUGGACGAGAGUCUGAACCAGCCAAGUAGCGUGAAGGAUGACUGCCCUAUGGAUUGUAAACUUCUUUUAUAUGGGAAUAAAAUGUUCAACGUGUGGGCUUAUGUGUGUACCAUCUGAAUAAGCAUCGGCUAACUCCGUGCCAGCAGCCGCGGUAAUACGGAGGAUCCGAGCGUUAUCCGGAUUUAUUGGGUUUAAAGGGAGCGUAGGUGGAUUGUUAAGUCAGUUGUGAAAGUGUGCGGCUCAACCGUAAAAUUGCAGUUGAAACUGGCAGUCUUGAGUACAGUAGAGGUGGGCGGAAUUCGUGGUGUAGCGGUGAAAUGCUUAGAUAUCACGAAGAACUCCGAUUGCGAAGGCAGCUCACUGGACUGCAACUGACACUGAGGCACGAAAGUGUGGGUAUCAAACAGGAUUAGAUACCCCAGUAGUC
rnacentral:rRNA from 1 species